rnacentral:rRNA from 1 species
UACGAAGGUGACUAGCGUUGUUCGGAAUCAUUGGGCGUAAAGCGCACGUAGGCGGGUUUGUAAGUCGAUUGUGAAAACCCUGGGCUCAACCCGGGACCUGCAGUCGAAACUACAAGUCUUGAAUGCUCGAGAGGAUGGUGGAAUUCCAGGAGUAGAAGUGAAAUUCGUAGAUAUCUGGAGGAACACCGGAGGCGAAAAGCGGCCAUCUGGCGAGACAUUGACGCUAAGGUGCGAAAGCGUGGGGAGUCAAACAG